UCCGGUUUAACACCGGCAGUCUCCCUAGAGUGCCCAACUGAAUGGUGGCAACUAAGGAUAGGGGUUGCGCUCGUUAAGGGACUUAACCCGACAUCUCACGAUACGAGCUGACGACAGCCAUGCAGCACCUGAACCACCAGUCCCCGAAGGGAAAACCGUAUCUCUACGGCUGUCUGAUGUUGUCUAACCUAGGUAAGGUUCUUCGCGUUGCAUCGAAUUAAACCACAUGCUCCACCGCUUGUGCGGGCCCCCGUCAAUUCCUUUGAGUUUUAACCUUGCGGCCGUACUUCCCAGGCGGGGUACUUAAUGCGUUAGCGUCGACACUGUAGGGGUCAAUUCCCACAACAUCUAGUACCCAUCGUUUACGGCGUGGACUAC
rnacentral:misc_RNA from 1 species